AACCUAAUUUAUUAUUUACAAAAAAACCUAACAUAUUUGACGCAGCCGCCUCCUUAUGACGCAACUCCAUCUCUCUCGAUCUCUUCUCACAGACCUCUCAUCUCGAUCUCCAUCUCUUUGCGAUCUCCAUCUCAUCUCGAUCUCCAUCUCUUUGCGAUCUCCAUCUCUCUCCAACUCCAUCUCACUCUCCAUCUCGACUCUCUCUCCAUCUCGUGCUCUCUCUCCAUCUCGUGCCCUCUCACUCCAUCUCGUGCCCUCACUCUCCAUCUCGUGCUCUCACUCUCCAUCUCGACUCUCUCUCCAUCUCGUGCUCUCUGACACAAACCCAUCUCAAGUUCUCUCUCAAUCUCCGAAGCAAACCCAUCUAUGAGCUCUCUCUCUUGAACCUAACUUGGUGGAAGCCAUCGGUUUAAGAUUGACCCGGACAUUCAAAAGGGUUUAGACCUUGGUCUGGUGUCACCUGAGAUUCUACAGAACUUCUUUGAUCUAGAGCAAUAUCCUCUUAUUGCAGAGCUUACACAGAGGUUCCAGGAUCGGAAUAUUAUCCAAGUAAACGAAGGUUAUCAGACCAACUCUACUCCUCCAUCUAAAGGUCUAAAGCUCUCCCAAGCUUCUCUCACUCAAGCUCUCCCAAGCUUCUCUCACUUAAGCUCUCCCAAGCUCAAAUAUAUAUGAAAAUUAAAUGUAUGAUUUUAU